rnacentral:lncRNA from 1 species
UUCUGAUUUAUUUCAACAGCUUUAUGUUCACAACAAGAACUAUGAAGAAUUAUACAAGUACAUACCCAAAGACAUUCUACCAAUCGAAUAUGGCGGAACUGGUGGAACAAUUGAUGAAAUUAUGGAUAACUGGAGAAGAAAAAUCCAGGAAUACAACUCCUGGUUAGAAGAAGAUAGAAAAUAUGGCGUAGAUGAGUCCAAGAGGCCGGGAAAACCUAAGACUGCUGAAGACUUAUUUGGUGUUGAAGGCUCGUUCAGACAACUUGAAUUUGAUUGAAUUUUUUUGCGUAUGGGGUUUAUAUAGCUUUUUUCUGACUACAUUUUUUUUCUUUAUACUUUAUUGUGCACAAAUAGAAUGAUAGAACAUUUAAUUUUAAAUGUAAUGUACAACGGCGAGCUGUGGAAUACAUUUUUGUUAUUAUUUUAAGUAAAUAAAGAAGUAAUUAAAAACAAAAAGGGAUAUGAUAUUACUA